UCCACGCCCUAAACGAUGAGUGCUGGGUAUCGGGCUUUGGCUCGGCGCCGUAGCUAACGCGUUAAGCACUCCGCCUGGGGAGUACGGCCGCAAGGCUGAAACUCAAAGGAAUUGACGGGGGCCCGCACAAGCGGUGGAGCAUGUGGUUUAAUUCGAAGCAACGCGAAGAACCUUACCAGGCCUUGACAUGCCCCGAACCCCUGGAAACAGGGGG
rnacentral:rRNA from 1 species